CCUGUUUUGCCCCGUCCAGGUUCGCUCGCACGUGAAAGCGGUGGGAUUCCGCCACGUGCGUUCUGAUGUGUGGGAUCCAAUCUAGCAAGGAGGCAGGACGGACAGGCCCAGUAUCACCGGGGAGAGCUGCAGUGUCGGGGCCCAGUGGCCGUGAAGGGAAGGUCCUGUGAUGUAACUUGGCUGGAGCCUCCCUGAGGAUCAUGUUAUCUGCAUAGUUGACUGCUUCCCGUGGGGAAUGUCAGAUGAGGACAGAGGCUGCACCUAUUUUGCAAGUACUGUGUCCUCAGUGCUUAGUCCAGAGUGCUUGACUCUUCAGGCAUCUGAAAAUACUCGACCGGGACUAGCGCCAGCGAGGAAGUCUCCGCACCCUGUCUGGAAGCUUGGAGUUGUCCCUCUCUUGUCUGGUUUCUCACAGACCCUCUGGUGCAGCCCAGGACUCCCCCCACGGGACCCCCAACCCUAUGGCCAGUGUUCAGGGACUAUCUGAGGACCCACUCCUGGGGGCUGUGACGUGCACUGUCCUCUUGCAACCCAGGGUGAUGGACCCACAGGGCAAUGAAGAGGUGUUGGAGAUAGCCCCAGACCUCAGGAUAAGUAAAAAAAAGCCACGAGACAGGAGGGUGUGUGUCAAAUGCUGCCGGUUAUGUUCCAAAAAGAGAGAAAAAACUGCCUCCCCACAGGGAUCUAUAAAUGCACAGACUGAAGGGUGCCUAGGAGAGGGACCAGGGAGAGCCAGGGGGCUGGGAGCACACACGUCUUUCCAAAUAGGAGGCACGGACCUAGUCAAAUAUAUAGUAUGAUUCAACAUUUUUUAAAAACCACCACUUUCUCUUCACCACCAUCACUUCCUUCCGUAGGAGACUGCAGCUGAGACCUGGGUGCAGGGUCGGGGUGCUGGGGAACCUCACAGUGAGAAAGGCUCAGAGGUUGCCCCUGCUUAAACGCAGCCCCACCCAGAAACAGUGCAUCCUUCCAAGCCCUGGCAACACAGCUCACCUGUGAGUGGGACACACAAGAUGGAAGCCAUAAAUAUGUAUUAACUUUGCUCAAGGAUAUGAAAACUAGUAAGAGGCUGGGACAGAGGACAAUGAGUGGGGGAAGAGGGGAGUGGCUGCUUCAGAGGUGACACCUCAAAGGCAAUCCCAGAUGCCAGCCACAGAAGGGUGUGCCAGGCCAAGGGCACAGCAAGUACAAGGGCCCUGGGGCCGGAUAGGGGCCGGUUUGCUGGAGCUGAAGAAACGGGAUACUGUGGUCCUGAUUACCACCUCAGCCUCAUUCUCUAAGGUAGGGCUGUGUCCACUGCCCCUCUGUGGUCUUCAGAUGAGACAGCAAGAGGCACAUACAUGCCCAAUUAAAGGAAGCUGAGGGGCACCUGGGUGGCUCAGUGGGUUAAGCCUCUGCCUUCCGCUCAGGUCAUGAUCUCGGAGGUCUAGGAUCCAGCCCCGCAUCGGGCUCUCUGCUCACCAGGGAGCCUGCUUCCCCCUCUCUCUCUGCCUGCCUACUUGUGCUC